rnacentral:rRNA from 1 species
UACGGGAGGCAGCAGUGGGGAAUAUUGGGCAAUGGGCGAAAGCCUGACCCAGCAACGCCGCGUGAAGGAAGAAGGUCUUCGGAUUGUAAACUUCUUUUAUGAGGGACGAAGGACGUGACGGUACCUCAUGAAUAAGCCACGGCUAACUACGU